CGUCCUUCAGCACGCAGAAGGUCGUCUCGAGCGCGCGCGACAGGAGCGCGUGACCAUCCACUCCAUUGUUGUGUUGAAAGAAACGCCCGAAAGCGCGCGCACGAGCCCCGGGUGACGCGAAACACGUCAGAACUAUAUAUACCGAGUCCCGCGCGUCCAGCGCAUUCCUGGAUUUGUCUGAGGUCUGAGUCGGUCUCAGUGGAGAUCUGGCGUCGAGGAUUUUUCAACUGUGUGCGAAGACCAAAGCCCCAAAAAACUCAGUUUUUCUACUCGAGUAACGGACAUUCGCUUACUACUUUUUUGCUCCAGAUUGUUCAAGAAGGAAAAGCUCAAUUUCAGCCACCACAAUCCCGCCCAUUAUGCCAUUUUUCAGCCAACAAUGCUAAAGUCAUGACAGUUUACGUUCUCUUAAACUGUUAAAGCGCUGAAAUUUGUUGCUGUUAAGCACAAUAUAUUAAUAGCAACCCGAGACGCAGAGGAGAGGUUUUAAUAGUAAGUGUUCUUUCAAACCAAUUUGAAUCGAAACUACGUAACGGUUAACCAGUUGUCUGUGUUGAAAAUGAUUCCAGAUAUAACUUAGAGCUGAACAAUUCCUAGCUGAAUCGAGCGUGGCGACCUAACUUAACUGCGCCACAGUUUCUAGAAGCAGACAGACAGCAUGCUGAGAUAAAGCGAGACUAGUGUAUGAGCUCACCGCAAAGCCAGAGCAGCGGCUUCAACGCCCUGCUCCUCUUUGUGUGUGAGACGGAGCAAUCCUAAUGGUUAUUAAAGUAGCGAUAAAUCAUCGAAUAAUAAGCUAGCCAUCGCUAGUCAUAAGCAAUCUGUACAUAAAGAUUGCCAUAGGCAGAGCCAGGAAGUGACUGCAUUCAAUUGGGGCUUUUUAUAAACUGCAUUCUUUUCAAAGGAGAGCUCACUGGAACAACCAACGCAAUCUGCACAUAAAGAUUGCCAAGUGGCGCCUGUGGAUUUAGCCGAACGGGGA